AAUGAACGUUGGCGGCAUGGAUUAGGCAUGCAAGUCGCGCGAUAAGAUUCCUUCGGGAAUCCGAAAGCGGCGAAAGGGAGAGUAACGCGUAGAUGAUCUACCCCGAGGACUGGGAUAGCGGCGGGAAACUGCCGGUAAUACCAAAUGAUGUCUCCGGACCAAAGGUGUGAUUCCGCCUUGGGAUGAAUCUGCGUCCUAUUAGCUAGUUGGUGAGGUAACGGCUCACCAAGGCGAAGAUGGGUACCGGGUGUGAGAGCAUGACCCGGCUCACUGGGACUGAGACACUGCCCAGACACCUACGGGUGGCUGCAGUCGAGAAUCUUCGGCAAUGGGCGAAAGCCUGACCGAGCAAUGCCGCGUGCGGGAUGAAGGCCU
rnacentral:rRNA from 1 species